rnacentral:pre_miRNA from 1 species
GUAGCAUUUGGAGCGUCAGUCUACCGAGUAAUUUCACCCGCUCGGUGGAAGAUCUUCCCCUGGACGG